CUGCGCCACCAGGGAAGCCCGGAAUGAUUUAAUUUUAAAUGUGCUGCAGUUUGCUGGAGAUCCUUCACGAACAGCUUCCUGAGUGCCAAGAGCAAGUGCUAGGUUAACAGAGUUCACAACAUGGGGGUGGGGAGUUGGAGGUAAAUCCCAGAAAUAAAAUUCAUUCAUCACUUA